UACGUAGGGUGCAAGCGUUAUCCGGAAUUAUUGGGCGUAAAGAGCUCGUAGGCGGCUCAGUUAGUCGGAUGUGAAAACUCCAGGCUCAACCUGGAGACGCCAUUCGAUACUGCUGUGGCUAGAGUCCGGUAGGGGAGCACGGAAUUCCUGGUGUAGCGGUGAAAUGCGCAGAUAUCAGGAGGAACACCGGUGGCGAAGGCGGAUCUCUGGGCCGAUACUGACGCUGAGGAGCGAAAGCGUGGGGAGCGAACAGG
rnacentral:rRNA from 1 species